rnacentral:ribozyme from 1 species
UACAUGGAAUCAACUCCUUACACCAAACCCUUCAACAAAGAAGUAUGAGAGUAUACUGCAACUAGUUUUUUUAAUUGGAAUUCUGCAAUUACAACAACAAUGGAUACGUCCAUUGAAUAACAUUUAAUCCACCCAAAAUUAUGGUGUUUAUAGAUGUAGUAGGAAGGAGAUCUCCAUUUUUGAGCUUGCAGUAA